AGCUACCAUGCAGUCGACGGAUCCUUCGGGAUUAGUGGCGGACGGGUGAGUAACACGUGGGAACGUGCCCUUUGGUUCGGAACAACUCAGGGAAACUUGAGCUAAUACCGGAUGAGCCCUACGGGGGAAAGAUUUAUCGCCAUUGGAGCGGCCCGCGUCUGAUUAGCUAGUUGGUGAGGUAAAGGCUCACCAAGGCGACGAUCAGUAGCUGGUCUGAGAGGAUGAUCAGCCACAUUGGGACUGAGACACGGCCCAAACUCCUACGGGAGGCAGCAGUGGGGAAUCUUGCGCAAUGGGCGAAAGCCUGACGCAGCCAUGCCGCGUGAAUGAUGAAGGUCUUAGGAUUGUAAAAUUCUUUCAGCAGGGACGAUAAUGACGGUACCUGCAGAAGAAGCCCCGGCUAACUUCGUGCCAGCAGCCGCGGUAAUACGAAGGGGGCUAGCGUUGCUCGGAAUUACUGGGCGUAAAGGGCGCGUAGGCGGGUCGCUAAGUUGGGGGUGAAAGCCCAGGGCUCAACCCUGGAAUUGCCUUCAAUACUGGCGGCCUUGAGUAUGGCAGAGGUGUGUGGAACUCCGAGUGUAGAGGUGAAAUUCGUAGAUAUUCGGAAGAACACCAGUGGCGAAGGCGACACACUGGGCCAUUACUGACGCUGAGGCGCGAAAGCGUGGGGAGCAAACAGGAUUAGAUACCCUGGUAGUCCACGCUGUAAACGAUGAGUGCUAGUUGUCGGCAUGCAUGCAUGUCGGUGACGCANCUAACGCAUUAAGCACUCCGCCUGGGGAGUACGGUCGCAAGAUUAAAACUCUAAGGAAUUGACGGGGGGCCCGCACAAGCGGUGGAGCAUGUGGUU
rnacentral:rRNA from 1 species